UACGAAGGAUUCGAGCGUUAUCCGGAUUUAUUGGGUUUAAAGGGUGCGUAGGUGGAUUAAUAAGUCAGUGGUGAAAGCCCGGAGCUCAACUCUGGAACUGCCAUUGAUACUGUUAGUCUUGAGUACAGUUGAGGUGGGCGGAAUGUGUCACGUAGCGGUGAAAUGCUUAGAUAUGACACAGAACACCGAUUGCGAAGGCAGCUCACUAAGCUGUAACUGACACUGAGGCACGAAAGUGUGGGUAGCAAACAGG
rnacentral:rRNA from 1 species